CAUGCCUGCUAACAAAACAUUCAUUCUGUAGCCCACAGAUCAAGGAGUAAUUUUGACUUUCAAGUCUGACUAUGUAAGAAAAAUAUUUAAUAAGGUUAUAGUUGCCAUGGAUAGUGAUUCCUCUGUUGGAUCUGGGCAAAGUCCAUUAAAAACCUUCUGAAAAGAAUUCACCUGUCUAGAUGCCA